AAGCAUUAUUCACAUAUAAACAGCAAAGGAAAGAGGAUCGCAAGAGAUGAACAAAAUGGCUUCUUAUAAGAAGCACUUAAUAAUCUUAGCAACUCUCUUGUAUCUUAUGCUUUUCCUUUCAACCUAUGGGGCAGCAAGGAUCUUGGAUCUAAAUGGAAGUAUGAAGGUCCGAGAGAUCAAGGUUAUUGUAGUAGGACGACGAAUUGUACGACGAGAUUUGGCACAUGGAGGAAAUUAUGGCCCGGGAGUUCAGUGAGAUAUGAUGUUAUAAUUAAACUAGUUUUCUUCGAGUUUCUUUCUUCUUAAAUAACUUGAAUGUAGUGCAAAGUAUAUUGUUAAAAGUUCGAUAACAUUUCGGUUUGAAACUUCUUUUUUUUUGAAGUACUAAUGAUUUUAGAGAAGAAAAUAAUAAGCAUAUAUAUGUAUAUAUAUUAGAAAGGA